UAUUUUAAAACAAAGAGGAAGUACUUUAUUGCCCAGUGCAACUUUUCUAGGGAGUUCAGGAUUUUAUGAAUGAUUCUGGCAAGCUGUCAAACACAAACUGAGUUGGAUUUACUGCACGUCUCUUAACUGUGGUCACUAUGGCCCGGUAUGAGCUUUUUCAGAGUCAAACCACUCUGGUUAUGUCAUUACUGACGGACACUGCUAAGCUGGAGAUACGAAAGACUUUUACAUGCAGCUACGAUGAAUCUCAUCUCACCAUCAAAUCAAACGAUACUCAGAUUAAUAUGCUUAAUUCCAUAAUGGAGAGGUUUGCCAAAGAAGCAGUGCAGAAGAUUUGCAGUCUCUUCAGAUACUGUUCAUCUGUUGCACCAGUUCCAGCACAAAUGUGUUUGAAUGGCCGAGAUGACAUAAGGAAGCCUUCAUCUCAGAUGGGUAGUGACCUCAGUGGAACAACAUGUAUCCUAAACCAGGAGUUUCAGGGAGAUGCUAUACCUUUCUCAAUGAGUCCUCUGAAUGAGUUGGCAGCAACGUCUCACCAGCAACCUUCAAGCAUUGAGGUGAAUAAUAAUACUGUGCAGUUUUAAAGAGAAAUUUAUUUUAAGGAAAUAACUUACAGGGUGUUAAAUGUUGAUUUAAACAUUUACAUGUAAUGUGAAUUAUAACAUGAACAGGACGGUAAUGCAAGCCAGUGUCUUAUGGUGGCGGAAAGAGCAGAAGAAGCCAUUCAGACAAUAUUCAUCAGUGACGCUGCUGAUGAUGUGGGCUGGUCUGAAGAUCAGGAAGGCGUGUUGCAGACAUCAACCGUGCAACCUGAAAAGCCACAGGACAAAGAUUCUUUUGUAUGUGAGCAGUGCGGAAAGGUCUUUCCAAAGAUGCUUUCUCUUGUGCAGCACAAACGUGUGCAUUCAAUUGUGAGGCCGCACAAUUGUGAAAAGUGUGGGAAGAAGUUCACACUGCUGAGAGCGCUAGAGACUCACCUUCGCAAACACUUGCAGAAGUUCGAGAAGAAGAAAUUCCCCUGCAGUACGUGCGGAAAGAGCUUCAGGGAUCUCGCAGCGCAUGAACUGGUCCAUGCGGAAGUCAAACCAUUUACCUGUGAAAUAUGCGGACAGGGAUUCACAAUCAAAAGAAGUUUAUACAUGCACCAAAGGGUGCACACGGGCGAAAAACCAUACAGAUGCGACACCUGUGGGAAGUGUUUCUCCCUGAUUGGCACGUUAAACUACCACAAGAGAAUUCAUUCCAGUGACAGGCCGAUAAAGUGCAGCCAUUGCAAUAAGACCUUCAAGUACCAUAAACUUUUGAAACACCACCUUCGUGUGCACACGGGCGAGAGGCCGCACACGUGCGACAUCUGCGGGAAAAGUUUUGCGCUUUCCGGGACUCUGAAACGCCACAUUCUCGUUCACACCGGCGACAAGCCGUACGUCUGCGAGGUGUGCGGCAGAAGAUUCAAUCAGAGAAGCACUCUCAAAGGCCACAUGCGAGUCCAUGGAGAGAAGCGAUUUAUGUGUGAAAUGUGUGGGAAAACAUUCCAGUAUAAUUAUGCCCUAAGGAACCAUAUUCUAACACACAAUCAAAUUGGAAAUCCGGGAGAUAAGAGCAACGCUCAUCGCUGCGACGUGUGUGGGAAGUUCCUGAGCUCCGCCUACGCAUUGAAAACUCACCUGCUGCUGCAUUCGGACAACAGCAAACCGUUUACGUGCACGUUAUGUGACAGGAAGUACAGCAGCGUACAUUCCCUCCGGAUGCACCAGCAGCUUCACACGGGGGAGAAACCUUUCAAGUGCGAGAUCUGCGGUAAGGAUUUUUCUCUGAGGGCUUCAUAUAAAACUCAUAUGUUUCUGCAUUCAGGAGAAAGACCUCACAAAUGCGUAUUGUGUGGGAAGAGAUUCAAGCUGUCAAGCUCUCUGAAGAUGCACAUGCGCACUCAUACCGGUGAAAAACCUCACAAGUGUGAAACAUGUGGGAAGGCGUUUCAUUUAUCGGCCAAUUUGAAAAGACACAGGCUUGUGCACACCGGGGAAAAGCCGUUUACCUGUGAAAUUUGUUUGAAGAGUUUCACACAGCCCAACAAUUUGAAGGCACACAUGCACGUUCACACUGGCAACAAGCCGUACACAUGCACCAAGUGUUGGAAAAGUUUCGCCUAUCAGAGAAAUUUCAAAGAUCACAAAUGCGCUCCACUUUAAAUGAUUUCAGCUUUCUGACCUGAAAUGACUAAAUUGAGUAAUGUCUACCUACAGGUCCCUGGAUUCUAUGUAGGAUUAUAAAUAAUUUUGUGGAAAUUACAAGAAAUGCUUGACUGUAUUUAUUUAUCAAAAAAUAAAA